UACGUAGGCAGCGAGCGUUGUUCGGAAUUACUGGGCGUAAAGAGUGUGUAGGCGGUGCUCUAAGUUCGGUGUGAAAUCUCCCGGCUCAACUGGAGGGUGCGCCGAAUACUGAAUGACUAGAGUGCGGGAGAGGAAAGUGGAAUUCCUGGUGUAGCGGUGAAAUGCGUAGAUAUCAGGAGGAACACCGGUGGUGUAGACGGCUUCUGGACCGUAACUGACGCUGAGACACGAAAGCGUGGGUAGCAAACAGG
rnacentral:rRNA from 1 species